CAAGGUUGCACAGUUCUGGCUGAGGCUCAGCCACGGCAGCUUGGUGGGAUCCUUCCUUCUCUCCCUGCGUGGCUGUGUGCAUCCUUGAGCACAUCCAUGCAUCCCUCUCCGGGGCAAUGGUAAAUGGCCAACCCAACGCUGCAGCUGUGAUGUAAGCAAAGAAGCAGAGGGAGCAUUCAGCCCUAAGAAAACGAGCAUUAACCGCCGGUAUCACUCCAUCUCUCCACUGUCAUCAUCCCGUGGAACACAGCAGAGCCAGAAGAAGACAGAAUGCAACCAGACCUGAACGUGGCCACGGAUGUCACUCCAAGCAGCUGGCCUGCACAGAGCACUGUAGGAAAGGAGGCACAAACGGAGCAGCGCUGUGCUGCUGUUGGGCAGGAGCUGCGACACCAAAGAAGGGAGCCAUGGUUUGGCUCUUCCCAAGUUAACAGCUCUCUUCUAACUCAAAAUGCUUCUCCGUACGAAGUCCA
rnacentral:lncRNA from 1 species